AUACGAAGGCGGCUAGCGUUGUUCGGAAUUACUGGGCGUAAAGCGCGCGUAGGCGGAUUGGUCAGUUAGGGGUGAAAUCCCAGGGCUUAACCCUGGAACUACCUCUAAUACUGCCAGUCUUGAGUUCGGGAGAGGUGAGUGGAAUUCCUAGUGUAGAGGUGAAAUUCGUAGAUAGUAGGAAGAACACCAGUGGCGAAGGCGGCUCACUGGCCCGAUACUGACGCUGAGGCGCGAAAGCGUGGGGAGCAAACAGGAUUAGAAACCCUAGUAGUCC
rnacentral:rRNA from 1 species